rnacentral:rRNA from 1 species
AUUGAACGCUGGCGGCAGGCCUAACACAUGCAAGUCGAGCGGGGUUUUCGGACCUAGCGGCGGACGGGUGAGUAAUGCGUAGGAAGCUGCCCGAUAGAGGGGGAUACCAGUUGGAAACGACUGUUAAUACCGCAUAAUGUCUACGGACCAAAGUGUGGGACCUUCGGGCCACAUGCUAUCGGAUGCGCCUACGUGGGAUUAGCUAGUUGGUGAGGUAAUGGCUCACCAAGGCGACGAGCCCUAGCUGGUUUGAGAGGAUGAUCAGCCACACUGGAACGAGGACACGGUCCAGACUCCUACGGGAGGCAGCAGUGGGGAAUAUUGGACAAUGGGCGCAAGCCUGAUCCAGCCAUGCCGCGUGUGUGAAGAAGGCCUUCGGGUUGUAAAGCACUUUCAGCGAGGAGGAAGGGGUUGUAGUUAAUAGCUGCAACCUUUGACGUUACUCGCAGAAGAAGCACCGGCUAACUCUGUGCCAGCCGCCGCCGUAAAAC